GAUGAACGCUGGCGGCGUGCCUAAUACAUGCAAGUCGAGCGAACAGACGAGGAGCUUGCUCCUCUGACGUUAGCGGCGGACGGGUGAGUAACACGUGGAUAACCUACCUAUAAGACUGGGAUAACUUCGGGAAACCGGAGCUAAUACCGGAUAAUAUAUUGAACCGCAUGGUUCAAUAGUGAAAGACGGUUUGCUGUCACUUAUAGAUGGAUCCGCGCCGCAUUAGCUAGUUGGUAGGGUAACGGCUUACCAAGGCAACGAUGCGUAGCCGACCUGAGAGGGUGAUCGGCCACACUGGAACUGAGACACGGUCCAGACUCCUACGGGAGGCAGCAGUAGGGAAUCUUCCGCAAUGGGCGAAAGCCUGACGGAGCAACGCCGCGUGAGUGAUGAAGGUCUUCGGAUCGUAAAACUCUGUUAUUAGGGAAGAACAAAUGUGUAAGUAACUAUGCACGUCUUGACGGUACCUAAUCAGAAAGCCACGGCUAACUACGUG
rnacentral:rRNA from 1 species